rnacentral:rRNA from 1 species
GAUGAACGCUGGCGGCGUGCCUAAUACAUGCAAGUCGAGCGAAUGGAUUAAGAGCUUGCUCUUAUGGAGUUAGCGGCGGACGGGUGAGUAACACGUGGGUAACCUGCCCAUAAGACUGGGAUAACUCCGGGAAACCGGGGCUAAUACCGGAUAACAUUUUGAACCGCAUGGUUCGAAAUUGAAAGGCGGCUUCGGCUGUCACUUAUGGAUGGACCCGCGUCGCAUUAGCUAGUUGGUGAGGUAACGGCUCACCAAGGCAACGAUGCGUAGCCGACCUGAGAGGGUGAUCGGCCACACUGGGGCUGAGACACGGCCCAGACUCCUACGGGAGGCAGCAGUAGGGAAUCUUCCGCAAGGGACGAAAGUCUGACGGAGCAACGCCGCGUGAGUGAUGAAGGCUUUCGGGUCGUAAAACUCUGUUGUUAGGGAAGAACAAGUGCUAGUUGAAUAAGCUGGCACCUUGACGGUACCUAACCAGAAAGCCACGGCUAACUACGUGCCAGCCGCCGCGGUAA